rnacentral:miRNA from 1 species
GCGAGCCGAAUCAAUAUCACU